rnacentral:lncRNA from 1 species
UUUUUCUUAGCUUCCUAAUAUUCUAGUGCAGUUGGUAAAGAUCCUCAAACUCUGAUAAGAGCAGCCCGGUGCACGUAGCUGCCGCUUGCGCAGGAUCCAGGGAAGGGUCCGACCACUUUGAGUCUAUAGUACGCAGCUUUUCCUACACUACUACAAGAGGUUGUUUCUUCAAACUCUCAUAACGAAAGAGAUAAAAUUUUGAACCACGGAUUUCCUGUUUGUUAUUUUGGAUACCAAGCAGAAAAUUGCAGAGUAGCAACAACAAAUUGCUAAUUCGGAAUGGUUUUGCUCCUCUUUUAGAACAUACUAAUGAAAAGAGAACAAUCUAUCAUCAACCUCUAAAUUAUUUGCAAGCAGCAACCACCAAUUGAAAAUUACAACUGGAACAAGGAACAAGCAACAAUGCAGUUACGUCAAUGAUAGGGUGGUUGAACAUAAAUACUUAUGUUCAAUGUUCAGGGCCUUUGGUGAUGGAAGAGGAGCUGUCAGCCUGUCAGAAUAGUUCAGGGCAGGAAGAGCCUAAUCAACAAAAGUGUAGUGGUCAGGAACAAACAACCAUGUAGCAUCCACCAAUGAUACAUCAGUGCAGUGACAACGCCAAGUAAAGAAAUUUAUUACUCCCUCCCAUCCAUACUAGUUGCCGCAACUUAAAGUUAUACUAAAGUUGCGACAAGUAAUAUGAAUCGGAGGGAGUAGCAAAGAUAAAAUUGGAUGAACUCAAAUAAAAAUGCAGAAUAGUCGAGAGUAAUAAGAUACUCCCUAUGUCCUAAAAUAAGUGUCGCGGAUUUAGUACAACUUUAGUACAAAGUAAAGUUGUACAGUAACAUAAGACAUUUUUGCAGUUCAAUCUUACGUUAGUGUAGAGAGGGAGUACCAUUCUUAAUGAUAGACAUAACAAAGGCAGAUCCUAUUGAUAAAUGGUGGAAGGAAAGUAAAAUUUACACCAAGAAUUUAGCAAAUACAAGCUGCACACUACUGUCAUGGGUAGAAGCACAAUGGAUUAACUUUAAGAACCAUAGCCCUGCACAUACAGAGUCAUUUGAUGAAGCUGUUAACCACCAUAUACUAACCUAAAUGUUGUUUGUAAUUUUCUUCAAGAACAUAUAUGACUAGACACUAUUAGCUUCGAGAACAUAUUCCAAUUUUUGCCAGAACUGGGCCUGGCAAUUACUCAGUAGGUUCGUAACCAUUUCUUCCUUUGUAUAUUCAACAUAGGUAGUUUAAUUUUCUUGCAGCAAAACUGUAAUUUCUCCAUAAUGCUUCUGCUAUGUUUCUUCAAAAUAAGAAAUAAUUAACAUGGUGAUAUUAGAAUAGAAUUUCACCAUCGAUAUUUGACAGAGUGUUGUUGCAGGAGCAAAAGACAGCCCCGCUUUUAAUUUUUGAAGUGUGUGGUCAUCACUGUGCUUUCGAGAACAGAUAUGCAAAAAAGAAUCACUCGUGUUACACAAAAAUGCCAAAGAGAAGUGGACUUCUUUUUUACUUCUAUUUAUCCUGCCCACAUAUCAUACAUAGCUUACAUUGCUCGGACAUGGUUUGCACAAAACAUGUCAAAUAGCUUUACAUCCAGAAGACCUGAGGAGAAACUGUCGGGAGAUACUUAGACACUACAUAGGAGUUAGUGUGGUGGCGCGUGGUUUGCAGUUCUCCCCUACGAUCAUACUUAAGACCAAAGGUGCUCAUGUGGAGCACACAGCCACGGUCACCAAAGGCGCACUUAAACUCCACUCCCUUGCGUAGCACAACCUCAACAAGGCAAAAGCUGCCGUCGCCCAUAUACGCGAGACUGGCCCUCGCAAAAUCCAGCCGUCUCUCCGGGUCCUUGAGGAACAGCUUCUCCUUGGUCACCUUCCACUCCGGCUCCACGGCACUUGUGCUGCUGCGGGAGGCGACUUCACAGGAGCAGAUGUACCCGUCCUUGUGAAGCCCGACCCAUGCGUCUAGCCCGUUGUCGAAGUAAGCUUGUCCUUGGAAUGGUAGAGCCCAAUCCCCAUGACACCUCCACUUGGAAUUCCUGGUGUCGAAGGAGAAGGUGCCCUUUGGAAGAUGAUGAUAGCGCAGGUCAUGCGCAGACAUGAAUAUGGUGUGUCCGUCCGGGUGCAGCGCAUAAGAGGUGAUUACGUCGUCCAUGGCGAAUGGUGGCGGCGAGGGAACACUUUUCCAGGACCAUCUCAUGGUUGGGCUCGGCCACGGCUCGUCGUUGUCCAUUGGUGCCCACGACAUGGCCUCGAAAGAGUGCUGCUCGUGGACGUGGCGAUGUGUCAACGCGUACAGCAUGCCGCCGGUGGCCACUGUGAAGGUAGUCGUGUCGAUGAUUUGAAUCGGUGGACGGGGACCCAUGGUGAGCCCAGCCGUCUCGGUGUCGAACACGAGGGUGGGAGUGUUUGGAGAGCAUGGGUUGGUGGUGAUGAAGAUGUUGCUGCCCAUGGCGGCGAAGUCCAUGUGAAGACGAUUUACCGGUGCGGCUAACCGGAGAGCAGCAGGGUCAGGGAACCCAUAGUGCAGUUCGGUGGUGGCGUCCUGUAAGGCGUCGACGUCGAUCUUGUGGAUGCUGAAGCCCUUGUGCCAAUCAUCCAACACCAGGUAGAGGUGCUUCUUCGGCACACGACGCGGCCUUUUCCCGAUACGGUCGACGUCGAGGUGCGAGUGCUGACGCUUAGACAUGUUCUUCCCGCACUAACUGGAUCUAAAGAUUGAUUUUUUUUUAUUCUGAUGGCUACGAGGUUGCCAGUACAGGAGAAGAAACAAACGGAAGGGCAAGGAGACGACAACGUGAUCCAGAUCUAACCUGGCAAUGAUGCGUUAGGUCUUGGAAAUCCCUCCGCUUAUUUAUGGAUGGCUAAUCGAACUCCCUGCCGGGCUCGGUUUGCAGACAGGAGCUAGAGCCCGAGUCGGAGCAGAACAACGGAAUGACUAAUCGAACUCCCGACAAUGGGAAUGCCCGACGGAUUGGGGGAGGGGAGCCGAAUCAAGAGUGAAAUCGGGAUCGAAAGGGGAGGGGGAUUCUGGCGAAAAGAUCACCGAGCAAUCGCCACCCAAGAUGCUACAAGACGCUGAGAACUCACCGCAUCCUUGUCGGCGGGAGGCGGCGGGGACCCUGGCGGCUUCACCGGAGUUACCGAGCAGUGGUCGCCGGAGUAGUAGCCCCCAAGCCCGUGGUCCUGGAGUUGCCGGGCCGCCCGUAUGGCUAGAAGGCAGUGGAGACACGCCGCCCCUCCCGUGGUCACCGAAAUGUUGAUGUGGCCGGCGGCGCUACGCCCCUGCUCUGCUUCCCCUCCUUUUCUUUUCUUGCGCGUUUUUUUCUUUUUCUGAGCAACUUUUUGCGCGUCUGCUAUUCCUCUUCACGCGCUUCAAAUUGGGUUCGUCUCUCCAACACCCACGUCCCUUACCCUAUAUAAACGCCGCGAUGAAAAAACAACUUCUAUUACACCUGCGCAGGGAAAAUAGUUCAACGCGCAAGAUGAAAUGGUUUCGUGUGCCUCAUAUUUCG